rnacentral:rRNA from 1 species
UACGGAGGAUCCGAGCGUUAUCCGGAUUUAUUGGGUUUAAAGGGAGCGUAGGUGGAUUGUUAAGUCAGUUGUGAAAGUUUGCGGCUCAACCGUAAAAUUGCAGUUGAAACUAGCAGUCUUGAGUACAGUAGAGGUGGGCGGAAUUCGUGGUGUAGCGGUGAAAUGCUUAGAUAUCACGAAGAACUCCGAUUGCGAAGGCAGCUCACUGGACUGCAACUGACACUGGGGCUCGAAAGUGUGGGUAUCAAACAGG